rnacentral:rRNA from 1 species
AUUGAACGCUGGCGGCAGGCUUAACACAUGCAAGUCGAGCGGGGAAGGGUAGCUUGCUACCUAACCUAGCGGCGGACGGGUGAGUAAUGCUUAGGAAUCUGCCAUUUAGUGGGGGACAACAUUCCGAAAGGAAUGCUAAUACCGCAUACGUCCUACGGGAGAAAGCAGGGGAUCUUCGGACCUUGCGCUAAAUGAUGAGCCUAAGUCGGAUUAGCUAGUUGGUGGGGGUAAAGGCCUACCAAGGCGACGAUCUGUAGCGGGUCUGAGAGGAUGAUCCGCCACACUGGGACUGAGACACGGCCCAGACUCCUACGGGCGGCAGCAGUGGGGAAUAUUGGACAAUGGGCGGAAGCCUGAUCCAGCCAUGCCGCGUGUGUGAAGAAGGCCUUAUGGUUGUAAAGCACUUUAAGCGAGGAGGAGGCUACUUAGAUUAAUACUCUAGGAUAGUGGACGUUACUCGCAGAAUAAGCACCGGCUAACCUCGUGCCAGCCGCCGCGGUAA